AUAGAAAUCUGUAGUUAUGAUUUCAUCAACUGAGGUUGCAUUUCAGACCAUUUUUAUUGCAUAGAAGGGUAGAUAAGUUAGUUUGUGUUAUACAGCAACUCAUCCGAGAUUUUAGGGGUAUUUCAGUACACGAUCUUUCUCUCACAUUCAUUCAUUCUCAAUGUUUCAACUCUUUCUCCAAUUCAGUCGGAAACCCCCCAAAUUCUAAACCCUAGCAAAUUCAUUCAUUUUCUUUCAACCGAAAUCGUUUUUUUGUCCUUCCACCGACAGUCGACGUUUUUCAGAGAAAAUUUGCAAAUGGCUAAAAGACGGGCAAUUGCGCACAACCCAGUGGCUUAGGCCGGAGAAACUUCAAAUUAUAAUCGAAAGUUCUGCAUCAUAGGCAAAAUAUGAGUUGCCACCAAGCAUCCGUUAUCGGAGAGCGAUAGUCGAGUCCACAACAUAAAUUGUCAUUAUGUAAAUUUGAUUUUUUUUUCUAGUACAAGUUUGAGUAAUAUAUUUAUGAUGCAAUCAUACUUGUUGCAUGACUAUGGCAUUGAAUUGCAAUUAUACAUAAUAUAUAAUGCAUGCAAAUACAGUAAAGCUA